rnacentral:lncRNA from 1 species
UGGAUUGCAAAGUACACACUGCCUUCUGGAAACUCUCAGGUGAACCGUGGUUGAGUUCAGGUUAAUAUUAACUAUGAGCUAUUAAUGAUACUGAACACCUUGUGUUCAUCAGGCAAAUUUCUGACAAUUGUGUAACCGUUAGUUUCUGUUUCAUCUUUUACCUGACUUUGGUAAGAAACAGGUUCUGCAUGGUCUAAGGAACUUAUUUACAAAAUCAUGUACAAUUUGAAAGGAUAUUUCCAAGCAGAAAUAAACUUUGAACUCUGGACAAUCUUGUCUAAUCAUUGUCUUUGGUUGGGCUUUCACAAACGCACCAAGUUUGUCUGAAAGGUUCAUAUACUCUUCGAAUGUAAAUAUUCCCACUGGUCAAGCCAUGAAUGGCUACUGAGAAUAGCCUACCAGGGGGCCCCCAAACACAGAUGAUGGUUUUUGUGAUUCAAUCCCUAUGCCAUGCAUUUGGAUGUUUCUGAAGUAAAAAUGCAACAAAGGAAAUCUUGAUACUGGCAUUUGCAGAGCAGAGUUCAAAGAGAAAAAUAUCUCUGCAAUAGAAACAGUACUGGGAAGACACUCUCUCACACCCAAAACAAUUACCUAAUGCAGUUGCAUGUCUUUGUCCUAGAAAAUUAUUUUUCAGCUCCACAAACUGAGCUAAAGCAAGCCUCCCACUCAAUGGACUUUCACAGAGCUGGCAUUUCAAAGUCAGUUUGAUGUCAACAGAUUUGGACAGUUCCUACUCUACUUUUACCUUCUCUAUCUCUCUCUCCCUGUCUCUUACCGUCCCUACAGGCUGUCAGGAUGUCUUAUCACAGAGGAGGGUUGUGCUGCUCUGGCCUUGGCUCUAAGAUCUAACCCUUCCCAUCUACGAGAACUUGACCUCAGCUACAAUCAUCCAGGAGACUUGGGAGUGGAGCUACUAUCUGCUGGAUUCAAGGAUCCACACUGGAGACUGGACACUCUCAAGUAUGAACAAACAAAACAAACUUACACACAGUCUUACACAGACCUAUUUUAGAACAAGAUGUUUUAAUUGCCAAUGCACAAUUGAUCAAGUCAAAUAAAAUAUUAGUAAUACCUGAUUCUUAAUCAAGGUUAGACCCUCGUGGAGAGCAAUGGCUGAAACCUGGUCUGAGAAAGUGUGAGUGUAUAUUUAAUUUGAUUCAUAUAAUUGAUGGAACAAUGCUCUGCAAUUCUGAGAUGGAGUCUGUUCUAGGGACUAAGCAGCUUUAAGAACAGCAUAAGUUGAAUAAGUUGUAUGUCACAAAAAUGUGAUAAAAUACUCAUUCGUAGAUAAAUGUCAAUGCAUUAUCCUUGUUUUUUCUCUCUAUCAGAUGCCUGUGAUCUCAGACUGGACCCAAACACAGCAAACAGAACCCUCAAACUCUCAGGGGACAACAAGUCGGUAGCAGCAGUAGGAGAAGCUCAGCUGUACCCUGAUAAUCCAGAGAGGUUUGACUACUGCCAGCUGCUGUGUACAGAUGGUCUGACUGGUCGUUGUUACUGGGAGGUGGAGUGGAAAGGAAAAGUCCAUAUCGCGGUAACAUACAAAGGAAUCAAGAGGAAAGGAUAUGGUGCUGACUGCUGGUUUGGAGGGAACAACCAGUCGUGGAAUCUGCACUGCUCACAUGAACAUUACUCUGUGUGUUGCAAUCUGAGAGAAACAGACAUCCCCACUCCUGCAUCCUCCACCAACAGAGUAGCAGUGUAUGUGGACCAUCCUGCUGGCACUCUGUCCUUCUACACAGUCUCCCAUGACACACUGAUCCACCUCCAUACCUUUGACACUACAUUCACUGAACCUCUUUAUCCCGGGUUCAGGUUUUGGUUUGGAUUGGACUCGUCAGUUUCUUUGUGUGAGCUGAAAAGGGAAGACUCUCAGAGUUAAAGAAGGCUAC